ACCAGCUCAACCAGGGAAGGAAACGCACCACCCUGCUAGCCCUGCUUCAGCCUUGGGUGAGGCUGUGAAGGCUGGUGACGGGAAAACUGGAGCAGAGAAGACAAAUCCAGCCUGAGCCAAGAGGCCUCUGCAUCGCUGGUCAGGAAAAAGCAACUGCUAGAUUUCUGGUUUGCCCCUCAGACCGUGGAGCUCCGGGUCACCAGCCUGAACCGCUUAAUGCACAUCACGCCUGGGUUUAGUUGGAAAUGGCUGAAGGCACUUAAAUGGAACUCCCAACCUUUGUCCUCAGCUUCCGAAACCACAGAAACUCGGAUUCCUGUCCUCACAGCUGGAACUUUCUCUUCACACUAAUUAGAAAACCAUCCUCUGGGAAAUGCGGCAUCUUUAUUGAGUCAAUCUUUGGUGAUGACUAAGUCAACUGGCAAGAUGAAGUUUACAUCAGGGAGAUGAAGGCACUAAAACCCUUCCAGUACACUGGUCCCAGGCCUGAAGCCAAUAAGCCAGGCUGACCUGACAGAUAUCCAGACCCCCACAUCUAGAGAAACUAAGGGUUGCAUUACAGAAGGACUAGCUAGAGGUUGGGGUCAACCCAGGGGUCAAAGAGCCAUGCCAGCUAUGAUCCCCCAGUUUUCUUCCCCUUCUUCCUAAUUUACAGUAGCUCUGGGUAUUAGCUGCAUAAUUA
rnacentral:lncRNA from 1 species